CCAGCAGCUCUCUCUUUCCACUGGAGCAGCUGUUCUGUGUCACAUGGAGAAGGCCCAUCGGGAGUCGGAGAGAACGAGGCCAACAGGAUCCCAGGAUGCAGGGACGCAGAUGUGAGAAGACCCGGUCUGUGUCCUCAGGGCAGUGCAGCAGGGAAGAGCCCUCCCGGGGCGCCGGCCGACGCGAGACCAGUGGGGAACCGAGGCAGCUGGGCGCUCUGUGCCCGAGGAGGCACAGAAGGAAGACCAGUGUGGCCAGCACCUCAAGACUGUGACGUUGGGAGAGGCUGAAACUGAGGCUGCGGCGGAGCUGGGGCCAGGAAUGCAGGAUGUUGCCCUUCCACGUCGAUCUCUGUUCUUCAAGACCUGCUGCAAAUGCUACCUCCACCAGGAAGCCUCCCUGAUCACUGGCAGUCAGAUUUGUACUCUCUCAGCUCCUUGCCACUGUUACCAGGAUGAGAGCUGGAGUGGCUUCUGGCCCGGAGUGGACACUCCGUAAUGUUUGUUGAGUGAAUGGCUGUCAGAAAGAGGGGAAAGGGGGAGGGGAAGGCGUAGCAGAGAAGUGGGAAAGCUGGCGGUCUGAGCGGGGGGAGUGUCGGCUGGGCAAUGGUCAAGAUGGUGUUUUUCUGACUCCAGGUGACCAUUUAGUGAGCACACAA